rnacentral:rRNA from 1 species
UACGAAGGGGGCGAGCGUUGUUCGGAUUUACUGGGCGUAAAGGGCGCGCAGGCGGCUCAUUUUGUCAGGCGUGAAAGCCCCGGGCUUAACCUGGGAACUGCGUUUGAUACGGAUGGGCUAGAGUUCGGGAGAGGAGAGUGGAAUUCCCAGUGUAGAGGUGAAAUUCGUAGAUAUUGGGAAGAACACCGGUGGCGAAGGCGGCCAACUGGACCACAACUGACGCUGAGGCGCGAAAGCGUGGGGAGCAAACAGG